CAUGUCCUUUUGAAAAUAAUUUAAGGUCUAAUCUGCUCAAUGAAUAUUUAAAUAGCCGCAGUAUAUUGACUGUGCAAAGGUAGCAUAAUAAUUAGUUUCUUAAUUAGAAACUGGAAUGAAUGAUUGGACAAGAAAAAUUCUGUCUCUUUUGUAAAAUUUUUGAAUUUUAUUUUUAAGUGAAAAAGCUUAAAUGAGUAUAAAAGACGAGAAGACCCUAUAGAGUUUAAUAGUUAAAUUAGAUUAUAAAUUAGAACUAAUUUUUUAAAAUAAUUUAUUUAGUUGGGGUGACUCAAAGAUUAAAUUAAUUCUUUGUUUAAAAAAUUAAUGAUUAUUAAAUUUUAAAUCUAUUAUUAAUAAAUUUAAAAUAAAUUACCUUAGGGAUAACAGCGUAAUUUUUCUUAAAAGUUCUUAUUGAAAGAAAAGUUUGCGACCUCGAUGUUGGAUUAAAAUAAAUUUUUGGUGCAAUAACUUAAAAAUUGGGUCUGUUCGACCUUUAAUAUUUUACAUGAUCUGAGUUUAGACCGGUGUAAACCAGGUUGGAUUCUAUCUUUAGAAUAAUAAUAUAUUUUAGUACGAAAGGACCAAAUAUAUAUUAAAUUAAUUG
rnacentral:rRNA from 1 species